GAACUUCAGAAGAAGGUAAGGGCAUGAUCACGAAGGUGGUUUUCCCAGGGCGAGGCUUAUCCAUUGCACUCCAGAUGUGCUGACCCCUGUGAUUUCCCCAAAUGCGGGAAAUUCGACUGCAUAAUUUGUUUGUGGUAGUGGGGGACUGCGUUCGUGCUCUCCCCUG
ensembl:snRNA Gm26505 predicted gene, 26505